rnacentral:lncRNA from 1 species
GGCCGUAACUAGCCUCUUUUAAUAGUGAGGCAAAAUAUAUUCGAAAAAUUUUGGGCGAGGGGUCUGGGGGCUGCUAUUAAGGCCCCAGAGGCUCUGAGAAAAAUAACGCAAAAUCGUGCAUUCUGAGCGUUUCCCAGACUCUUUCUUGCAUUGAAACGGCUUAAUUAAUUUUUAGAUAUUUUUUUCGACAAUCAGGUCCCAAAGC